GUGUCCGUCCUGGGCUAUGGGAGCCUGCGGGCUCCGAGCCGGGCACCGGGCGGGACAGGGCAGCGCUGGGAGUGGCCUGGGAGUGGGGGCGGAGGAACGGUGGGCCGACUGGAUCUAUGCUGAAGACGAAGAGUGCUGGCUGACAGGCAGGGUGCCCUCCAGGCCAGAGGCCCCUAGAGACCCCCAGCUCUGAAAGUGUGAGAGGAGGAGCCACCAGGGAGUUGGGGGGUCUUUUGAGCACGAGCUGCCUGGACUCCUUGCUCGGUGCCUGCAAUAAACCCUGCACCUGCCUUCACCACAACGCGUGUCAGCAGACUGGCUUCGCUGUGCGUGGGUGAGCGGACCCAAGUUUGGUUUGGUAACAAUUUCGGCGACCUGGCUGGAGCGGAAGUCCCGAGUGGGCACCUUGCCCACGGCACAUCGGCCCUAGGGUGGUCCGCGGGGUGCUCCAGCAGAUCCGUGUUUCAUGGAACAGGCGAUGCACCAGGAUCCCAGUGCCAGUGAGGAAGAUGACAGCCCUGUUGCCAGUGAACCCGAAGGAGUCUGCAGAAAAGGGGGUGCCCCGGGCUGGGGGCCGCCCACCCCCACCCGUCUGCAGGAGGAGCCCUCGAAGCUUUGGCGGGACGGGAGUGGCUUGAGGCCCUGGUCACACGACCUCAUCAGUCACCGGCAUGGGGUUUUCAUGGGGGCCACCCGCAGGGACCCCUGCCGCCUCCUCCUCACUCGGCUUCUUGCGGGCCUCGGCCGGGGGCCGGGGCGGGGGGUUGCUGGGUGGCUGCUUGAUGGUGCCCCCCACCUGCGGCCGCUCCUUGGGCUUGGUCUCGAUGGGGGUCCACUUCUCCCCGCGGAUAGCCGCCUGCAGGACACGGAGGGGCUGGGCUGGGGAUCCUCCCGGGCCGCCCCCGCCCCGCCAUACCGCCUCCCCGCCCCUGUGCUCCCCCACCCCCGCCAGGAGCCAGGACACGACCGAAUUCAGUGAGACCUGAGGGGACUGGAGCUCAGAGAGGUUAUUUGAUGGGCCUGAGGCCACACAGUCAGAUCCCAGCUAUUUCACCACAACACAAGGGGCCCCACAAGGGCGAGGGGUGCUGAACCCCGGGGCUCCUGGAAGAUCCCCUGGAGGCAGCUUCCAGGUGCACAGCCUUCCUCCCAGGGACUAAGGGCCAGGAGCAGGACAGGAGCCCAGGCCCCAGUGGCCAUGAUGCUGAACUGAGGCCGGCAGCUCUGGGUGACGGGGGUGGGGAGAGGCCCAGGAGGGUGGCCAGGGAGGCCAGGGGCCCAGGUGUGUUGAGGAGGAAGAGUGCACGGCCCAGGGAAUUUGCUGAAACGCAGACUCCAGGGCCACAGGCCAAGUGGACCUAAGAACGUGUAUCUUUCAUUUUGUAUCCCCUAAUACAUUAGUUGAUAAAAAAAAAAUGUGACAGCAUAUACUUUAUGAAGCAUAAGAAUAAAGUGAAUU